UCCCGCCCUCCAUCCCGCUGACCCGGGGCGGGGGAGGCACAAGUUUUCAUGGGCGUCUUUCAUGUCCCCUUCCUUUCUUGGGAGAGGUGGCUCUGGGGACAACCAAGGACUCCGGGAGUGAAAAGAGACCCCUGGAAGACACGGAAGGACUUUCAGGCUGUCCCCCUCCUUUCAUUAUCCUGUGUCUGUUCCCGCGGGGAGGAGAAGCGAUGGCUCCUCGGACCAGAUAUCGAUAAUCAUGAUGACAGCUGCAGAGGUGAGAUCAUGUUGGUACUGGAAUCAAGAAGACCUGGAUUCACAUCCUACUUACCAUCUUUUCUGUUUUGGUGAAUUUGGGCAAGUCACUUUAACCUCUACUAUAGCUGCAUUAGGCAAUUC
rnacentral:lncRNA from 1 species